UGAGCUGACUCCAGAGGACCCUUUAUGUUUUAUUGGUGUUUCGCGUUGCAUCGCGCCCUUGUUUGAUCACAGUGUGUUCAAUAGCUAAACACUCCACUGUAAGGCCGAAAUGACAGUGUAGUGACGGUGUCGUUCAGAGCUCGUGUUCGAGGUCUAAAAGAGCACUAAUUUGUGAAAUUGAGCCUCUUCGAGCUGUGCGAGGAUGCAUCCAUAGUCCUGACAACUGAGAAGAUGCGAGAAUGAGGGUUUACAAUGGAUGAUCAACAUAUCUGCAUCUCCCAAAGCUUCAGAGAGACUUUCCAGUGGGCCAUAAUCUAUUAUUCAGUCCUCUCAGGUACUGAAAAGUUGUGGAAGGUUUUAUGGUUAUGAUAUUUGCUGUUGUUAUUAUCAUGGUAAUUUGUCAUUUUGAAGUUAUUUUUUAUGAUUUAUUUAUUUAUUAUUUUACUUUUAAAUAAAGUUUCCCAUUUGAACUAAAAUUGUUUUUGUUUGCAGUAUGAAAGAUGCUAUAUAAAUAAAGUGUAUUAUUAUUGAGUGAAAUAUAUUAUGUUUGGAAUACAUUCAUUCUAAAAGAAUGGAAACUAAAUAGAGUGGAUUUAUGGUAAGACAUUUUCUGUGAUAUGACAAUUUGUUUUGCAGCAUUAUCUUUUGACUGGUAUUCAGAAUUAAAUUAAAUUAAAAGAAAACUGAAUUGACUGUUGAUUUUAGAUGACACUAGAAUACAUACAUGUUGCAUGGUUUACUGUAUGUACUGUACCUAUCUUGAGGUUCCCCAUGUGUGUCCAACAAUCUCCAAGAGUUUGUUAUGGGCAGGGGAGCCCAACAUGAUAGUAGUAGAGCAAUGCAGCUCAUUAAAUUUACUCUGUACCAAGAACUGUAACUUUAAGUAUUUCCAUUUCUUGCCACCUAGUAGUUCACCACAUUUUAUAUGGAAAAAUUGUACUUUUACGUUUAUCUGACAAUACUUACAAGUUUUGUUGUCGAAUAAUGAUUUAAAUAAAAACACAUAGUCAAAAUCAUUGAUUGUUAUAGAUUAAACUCCCUAGCAAGUAUAUAAAGUAGCAUAAAGUAGUUCAAAUGAACUCUACCUUGACAUGCCACGUCUGUUAAAUUCAGCUUAAUGUAAUGCAAUAAUAAUAAAAUACUGAUAUAGUAGG